GCCGCCGUUUUCCAUCAAAAUGACCCCUUGUUCAUCUUCUUCAAGACCAAAGAAUAGACCCCCGCUGGACCUUCUUCUCCUUCACCUUCCAAAUCCUUUGAACUUCAUCUUCUUCGUCCUUAGGAUCAGCAAAAAACUCAAAAAAAUGGGACCUUAAGGGACCUACACUAAAGAACGGACAGCGCCGUUUCCCUGGACCUUGUUCUUCGCUGCUCUCUCAUCUUCAAUAGAAUCAAACCCACACAAAAAGGAGAACCCAUUUUUCCCUUCAGCAAAGAGAACAGCGGUGCAAAGCAUCAAAAAAUCAGCCACCCCUUUGCCUUCGCUCCACCUUCUCUCUUCAUUUUUCUCUCAUAAAAAGCUUUGAAAAGAGCUCCUGAAGUAUUUAAUACAAAACAUUUUGUUUCUUCAUAUUUUGAUCGAUUUCUGUUUUAAAAGUGAUGGAUUUUCAGUUGAAAUCGAAGUCUGAUUAUGAAUUCGUAGUCGACUGGAAAUUUCUAUCGCCAAUUCGAGUUUUCCGGUCAAGAGUAUUCUGGGUCUGUUGAGCGCUGUUGAUGGAAUUGCCGUGAAGAUGAUGCUGUGUUUCGUUGAUGCUGUUUUGCUAAGCUACAACUUUCCUCUUGCCUUUAUUUGGCUAUUCACGUUUGUAUUUACUGAUGUUUAGAGAUUUGGGCCACUCGGAGUUGGAUACUCGUGGUAAGAGCGUGAUUUCGGAUUGAUUUGAGCUUGGUUCGAGAUCCAGGUAGCUCACAUUAGUUGCAUUACCAGUGAGGCGAGACGAUUGUAGAGACUUCGAGAUAUAUCUGCCGCAUCCGCAGACCCAAGAGUCCCUAUCUACUCUUCCUUAAGCUAAAGACUUUCUUGUAUUUUCUUCGUUGAUAGAUUCUAGAGUUUAAAAGCAUUGUUUUCUUUCUGUAGCUUGUAAUUCAUGAUAUUUCGGGUUUUGGGAGCAUUUGUGUUCAAUUCGAGGGUGAUUAUUGUAUAUGUCGCGAGACAUCUAAAUUUCUUAAAUAAUUUACCUGUUAAAUUGUUAGUUUUUCA